UUAUCUCAGCUAUAAUAAGCGAUGAACACAGUAUCUUCAAUAACCAAGCAGGGUAUCGAACGAUAUUAUUAAGACCAUCAAAAAACGACUGGGGAAUAAACAUUCAAAUGCACAAGUCUAUGCAGUCAUGUUGUUGGAGAUGCUGAUGAACAAUAUUGGAGAACCUGUUCAUAACCAAGUCAUUGAAUUGGGGAUUCUCCCUAUUCUUGUGAAGAUAGUUAAGAAAAAGACUGACUUGCCAGUGCGAGAGAGGAUAUUUCUCCUUCUAGAUGCCACAUAGAUAUCCCUUAGUGGUGCUUCCGAGAAGUUCCCUUAAUAUUAUUUUGCAUUCUAUGACCUUGUG